GUCAGUAGCUCAGUUGGAUAGAGCACAGGCCUUCUAAGCCUGGGGUCGGAGGUUCGAACCCUCUCUG
rnacentral:tRNA from 1 species